rnacentral:rRNA from 2 species
CCCCCGGCUCAACCGGGGAGGGUCAUUGGAAACUGGGAAACUUGAGUGCAGAAGAGGAGAGUGGAAUUCCACGUGUAGCGGUGAAAUGCGUAGAGAUGUGGAGGAACACCAGUGGCGAAGGCGACUCUCUUGUCUGUAACUGACGCUGAGGAGCGAAAGCGUGGGGAGCGAACAGGAUUAGACUCCCUGGUAGUCCACGCCGUAAACGAUGAGUGGUAAGUGUUAGGGGGUUUUCGCCCCUUAGUGCUGCAGCUAACGCAUUAAGCACUCCGCCUGGGGAGUACGGUCGCAAGACUGAAACUCAAAGGAAUUGACGGGGGCCCGCACAAGCGGUGGAGCAUGUGGUUUAAUUUGAAGCAACGCGAAGAACCUUUCCAGGUCUUGACAUCCUUUGACAACCCUAGAGAUAGGGCUUUCCCUUUCGGGGACAGAGUGACAGGUGGUGCAUGGUUGUCGUCAGCUCGUGUCGUGAGAUGUUGGGUUAAGUCCCGCAACGAGCGCAACCCUUGAUCUUAGUUGCCAGCAUUCAGUUGGGCACUCUAAGGUGACUGCCGGUGACAAACCGGAGGAAGGUGGGGAUGACGUCAAAUCAUCAUGCCCCUUAUGACCUGGGCUACACACGUGCUACAAUGGACAGAACAAAGGGCUGCAAGACCGCAAGGUUUAGCCAAUCCCAUAAAUCUGUUCUCAGUUCGGAUCGCAGUCUGCAACUCGACUGCGUGAAGCUGGAAUCGCUAGUAAUCGCGGAUCAGCAUGCCGCGGUGAAUACGUUCCCGGGCCUUGUACACACCGCCCGUCACACCACGAGAGUUUGCAACACCCGAAGUCGGUGAGGUAACCUUUAUGGAGCCAGCCGCCGAAGGUGGGGCAGAUGAUUGGGGUGAAGUCGUAACAAGGUAGCCGUAUCGGAAGGUGCGGCUGGAUCACCUCCUU